rnacentral:rRNA from 1 species
GUUUUUGAUGUGGCGCAUAGCUCCGUAACACGUGGCCAAACUCCCUUUCGGAGGAGCACGACCUCGGGAAACUGAGGCUAAUUCUCCAUACGACACUCAGCCUGGAAUGGUGGGUGUCCGAAAUGCUUCCGCGCCGAAGGAUGUGGCUGCGGCCGAUUAGGUAGACGGUGGGGUAACGGCCCACCGUGCCGAUAAUCGGUACGGGUUGUGAGAGCAAGAGCCCGGAGACGGAAUCUGAGACAAGAUUCCGGGCCCUACGGGGCGCAGCAGGCGCGAAACCUUUACACUGCACGUCAGUGCGAUAAGGGGAUCCCGAGUGCGCAGGCAUAGAGCCUGCGCUUUUCUGAACUGUAGGGAGGUUCAGGAAGAAGAGCUGGGCAAGACCGGUGCCAGCCGCCGCGGUAAUACCGGCAGCUCGAGUGAUGGCCGAUCUUAUUGGGCCUAAAGCGUCCGUAGCUGGCCUGGCAAGUCCGUCGGGAAAUCCACCCGCUCAACGGGUGGGCGUCCGGCGGAAACUGCGAGGCUUGGGACCGGGAGGCUUGAAGGGUACGUCCGGGGUAGGAGUGAAAUCCCGUAAUCCUGGACGGACCACCGAUGGGGAAACCACUUCAAGAGAACGGAUCCGACAGUGAGGGACGAAAGCUAGGGUCUCGAACCGGAUUAGAUACCCGGGUAGUCCUAGCUGUAAACGAUGCCUGUUAGGUGUGACUCCCACUACGAGUGGGUGUUGUGCCGUAGGGAAGCCGCUAAACAGGCCGCCUGGGAAGUUCCUCUGCAAGGAUGAAACUUAAAGGAAUUUGGGGGGGAGCA